rnacentral:rRNA from 1 species
CCUACGGGAGGCAGCAGUGGGGAAUAUUGGACAAUGGGGGGAACCCUGAUCCAGCCAUGCCGCGUGUGUGAAGAAGGCCCUCGGGUUGUAAAGCACUUUCAGUGAGGAAGAACGCCUGGUGGUUAAUACCCAUCAGGAAAGACAUCACUCACAGAAGAAGCACCGGCUAACUCCGUGCCAGCAGCCGCGGUAAUACGGAGGGUGCGAGCGUUAAUCGGAAUUACUGGGCGUAAAGCGCGCGUAGGUGGCUUGAUAAGCCGGUUGUGAAAGCCCCGGGCUCAACCUGGGAACGGCAUCCGGAGCUGUCAAGCUAGAGUGCAGGAGAGGAAGGUAGAAUUCCCGGUGUAGCGGUGAAAUGCGUAGAGAUCGGGAGGAAUACCAGUGGCGAAGGCGGCCUUCUGGACUGACACUGACACUGAGGUGCGAAAGCGUGGGUAGCAAACAGGAUUAGAUACCCUAGUAGUC